GAUGAAGAACGUAGCAAAAUGCGAUACUUGGUGUGAAUUGCAGAAUCCCGUGAACCAUCGAGUUUUUGAACGCAAGUUGCGCCCGAAGCCUUUGGCCGAGGGCACGUCUGCCUGGGCGUCACGCAUCGCGUCGCCCCCCACAAAUUCUCCGUCAGGGGAGCUUGUGUUUCGGGGGCGGAUACUGGUCUCCCGUGCUCAUGGCGCGGUUGGCCGAAAUAGGAGUCCCUUCGAUGGACGCACGAACUAGUGGUGGUCGUAAAAACCCUCGUCUUUUGUUUUGUGCCGUUAGUCGCGAGGGAAGCUCUUCAAAAACCCCAACGCGUCGUCUCUUGACGGCGCUUCGACCGCGACCCCAGGUCAGGCGGGACUACCCGCUGAGUUUAAGCAUAUCAAUAAGCGGAGGA
rnacentral:misc_RNA from 1 species